rnacentral:sRNA from 1 species
UAAGGGCGAACAAGGCUCCCCGGGACCCAAGGGUGAGAAGGGUGAACCGGGCAGCAUCUUCAGCCCUGACGGUGGUGCCCUGGGCCCUGCCCAGAAAGGAGCCAAGGGAGAGCCGGGCUUCCGAGGACCCCCGGGUCCAUACGGACGGCCAGGGUACAAGGGAGAGAUUGGCUUUCCUGGACGGCCGGGUCGCCCCGGGAUGAACGGAUUGAAAGGAGAGAAAGGGGAGCCGGGAGAUGCCAGCCUUGGAUUUGGCAUGAGGGGAAUGCCCGGCCCCCCAGGACCUCCAGGGCCCCCAGGCCCUCCAGGGACUCCUGUUUAUGACAGCAAUGUGUUUGCUGAGUCCAGCCGCCCCGGGCCUCCAGGAUUGCCAGGGAAUCAGGGCCCUCCAGGACCCAAGGGCGCCAAAGGAGAAGUGGGCCCCCCCGGACCACCAGGUGAGCAACUCUGGACAUCCCAGGCAGGAGAGCCAUGGCGUGGCCAGCACUGAAGUGUCACACCUAGAGCCGCCACCACAAGCAGGUCCUGGACCCUCACUGGGUGGUGACCACCUCACCCUGCGGGAGGAAGGAAGCCCCUUCUGGG